CAGUAGCCGCGGGAAUACGAAGGGGGCUAGCGUUGUUCGGAUUUACUGGGCGUAAAGCGCACGUAGGCGGAUCGAUCAGUCAGGGGUGAAAUCCCAGAGCUCAACUCUGGAACUGCCUUUGAUACUGUCGAUCUGGAGUAUGGAAGAGGUGAGUGGAAUUCCGAGUGUAGAGGUGAAAUUCGUAGAUAUUCGGAGGAACACCAGUGGCGAAGGCGGCUCACUGGUCCAUUACUGACGCUGAGGUGCGAAAGCGUGGGGAGCAAACAGGAUUAGAUACCCCCGUAGUCCUGUCUCUUAUCAC
rnacentral:rRNA from 1 species